CCUUGUCUUAAUAUUGCCUUGUUCAGGAUGUUUGGACUGACUAGCUGGUAGAAUGUGGGCAUCAAUCUUGUCUGGUUGGCUUCUUCUUUCAUUCAGUCAUGUUAGGGGCAGACAGCUUAUGUCGUCCAUACUGAAAUCUGGGAAAUAAGAAGUUGUCAUCCUUCAAAGAUUUUCUCUCAUGUUUUUAACUUUAUGUUGUAAUUAACAACAGACUGUUAUGUACAUUUUGUAUAAAUUAUUUUACAUAGUUAUUAUAAUUGUGUUAUUGUUGAAUGUUUUGUUGGUAACAUUUAUAAAGUUAGUGCUAGAUAUGUUUUAUUCACAGUGAUAUCAUUUGCCUUGAGUGUUGGUGUGACUGAUUAUUGCUGAAUGCAGUGUUGUGUGUAUCAGUGCAGUCCAUGGGCUUGGCAGCUUGGAAACCGUUCUUCUUCCGUGUAGAUAUAACCUGCACACUAGUACAUAUGUCAGACCUGCCAAGGAUGUUCUACUCAAUACACUCUGCCAUGUUUGUUGCAAGACAGCAAGUCUGUGUUUUAACAUACAUAGGAAAUGUUUUGUUGUACACGACUCUUGUACAAUACAGCAAUAUGUACUUAUGUUCACCAAGCAGUAAAUGAGAAUCUGGUAGGUGGCUGUCUGAGAGUUUGAGUCUGUGCCAUGUCAAGGUUGUAAGUUUGUCGUGGAGAUGAGAAGUUUAACGAGGCACUUUGUGUUAUGACAAUGAACAAACUCAGCAGCUUUGACCUCAACUGAAGUUGCAGCCGAUCAAAUCAUUUAUCAUUUGCAUGUGACAGAGGCCAUUUGGUUCCAAACACUAAUAACAUGUUAAAGCAACUUUGAAUAUAUUGAUGUACUACUGUUAUGUCACUAAUUUGCAGCAGUCUAAAGGUUAAUAAACUGAUUGGCUGGUUAUGCUGAGGGUUUAGGUACUGAUGGGCUAGUUAUACUGGGGGUUUAGGUACUGAUGGGCUAGUUAUGCUGAGGGUUUAGGUACUGAUGGGCUAGUUAUGCUGGGGGUUUAGGUACUGAUGGGCUAGUUAUGCUGAAGGAUUAGGUACUGAUGGGCUAGUUAUGCUGAGGGUUUAGGUACUGAUGGGCUAGUUAUGCUGAGGGUUUAGGUACUGAUGGGCUAGUUAUGCUGAAGAAUUAGGUACUGAUGGGCUAGUUAUGCUGAAGGAUUAGGUACUGAUGGGCUAGUUUUGCUGAAGAAUUAGGUACUGAUGGGCUAGUUAUGCUGAAGAAUUAGGUACUGAUGGGCUAGUUAUGCUGGGGGUUUAGGUACUGAUGGGCUAGUUUACAGCAUGUUGGGCAAAAGUAAAUGCAGCAAGCUGAAGCAAGACUAGUCCUGCUGAUAUGUGAACAUAUACCAAACUGUUACAAGUGUGGAAAGAAAAUCAGUGUCAAUCUCUUAACUCACCUCACUUAUGUAUUAGGUAAGCCUCUACACAUAGGUCAUCAGUGGAGAGAAUCUUGCAACAAGUGCUGUGAUUGGAGCAUUGUUAGUCAAAGACUAUCAGGAAGUCAAUGAAUAUAUUCCUCUCAUUGUAGAUAAGUUGCAUCCUGUUGUCAAGUAGACAGGGAUUUGAUAUAUUUUGAUUAAUGACAAAUGCUGUACAUGCCAGGAUACUCCACUGGUAUCACUGCAUCACCUCAAAACGUCAGGUGAGAAUGCUGGACUGUUGUAUAAUGCAGUCAAGCAUGUUUACUGGUUCUGGUAACACGAAGAGGACAGGUUAUAAUAUACGUUGUACUAUUGUGAUAAGGGGUAUUCAGGGUUUAUUUCAUCCUGUUCACCAGGCAUGCAUGGUAAUUGGUUCAUGGUCACGUGAACCAAUCUGAGAUUGCCCAUUCUUACAUGGGGAAGGAAAAUGACCUUUGUCUACCUCACGACACUGUUGAUAGUAGGUCAACCUUCAAAUGUUGACAACUGUCUCCUUAGUUGCUCCUCUGGAUCAAGUUUGGUGUUAGCCUGGAGGUUCAAGUGUUGGGCUAGGAAGACACUGGUUUGUAAGACACAUAGGUACAAUAUCGGCAGCACAGUGGUUGAAGUGUUUGCUUUUCACUCAGAACACCUGAGUUCGAUUCCCCCAUACGAUGAGCCCAUUCUUAAUGUCUCAAUCAUAUAUGUGCAAUAUCGCUAAAAGCUUACUUUCUCCUCACAGUAAUAAACAAAAGUGGUAGGAUAUAUCUCAUUAAAACCUUAAUUGCUACAUUCAAGGUCUUUUGUCAAGUUACCACAAUUUUGAUAAACAUUUUUACAAUGAAAUGACAGGUAAGUAAUGGUACAGAAGGAAUAGUUUUGUCCAUUUCGACGAAUUAAUCCACCAAUACACUACUACUCCAUCUAUACAUUGUUCAUCUAUUCAGUGACACAUUCUUGUAUUCUUU